GGGUGAUCUGCCCUGCACUCUGGGAUAAGCCUGGGAAACUGGGUCUAAUACCGGAUAGGACCAUGCUUUAGUGUGUGUGGUGGAAAGUUUUUCGGUGUAGGAUGAGCCCGCGGCCUAUCAGCUUGUUGGUGGGGUAAUGGCCUACCAAGGCGGCGACGGGUAACCGGACUGAGAGGGUGAUCGGCCACAUUGGGACUGAGAUACGGCCCAG
rnacentral:rRNA from 1 species